rnacentral:rRNA from 1 species
AGAGUUUGAUCCUAGCUCAGGAUGAACGCUGGCGGCGUGCCUAAUACAUGCAAGUCGAGCGAACGGACGAGAAGCUUGCUUCUCUGAUGUUAGCGGCGGACGGGUGAGUAACACGUGGAUAACCUACCUAUAAGACUGGGAUAACUUCGGGAAACCGGAGCUAAUACCGGAUAAUAUUUUGAACCGCAUGGUUCAAAAGUGAAAGACGGUCUUGCUGUCACUUAUAGAUGGAUCCGCGCUGCAUUAGCUAGUUGGUAAGGUAACGGCUUACCAAGGCAACGAUGCAUAGCCGACCUGAGAGGGUGAUCGGCCACACUGGAACUGAGACACGGUCCAGACUCCUACGGGAGGCAGCAGUAGGGAAUCUUCCGCAAUGGGCGAAAGCCUGACGGAGCAACGCCGCGUGAGUGAUGAAGGUCUUCGGAUCGUAAAACUCUGUUAUUAGGGAAGAACAUAUGUGUAAGUAACUGUGCACAUCUUGACGGUACCUAAUCAGAAAGCCACGGCUAACUACGUGCCAGCAGCCGCGGUAAUACGUAGGUGGCAAGCGUUAUCCGGAAUUAUUGGGCGUAAAGCGCGCGUAGGCGGUUUUUUAAGUCUGAUGUGAAAGCCCACGGCUCAACCGUGGAGGGUCAUUGGAAACUGGAAAACUUGAGUGCAGAAGAGGAAAGUGGAAUUCCAUGUGUAGCGGUGAAAUGCGCAGAGAUAUGGAGGAACACCAGUGGCGAAGGCGACUUUCUGGUCUGUAACUGACGCUGAUGUGCGAAAGCGUGGGGAUCAAACAGGAUUAGAUACCCUGGUAGUCCACGCCGUAAACGAUGAGUGCUAAGUGUUAGGGGGUUUCCGCCCCUUAGUGCUGCAGCUAACGCAUUAAGCACUCCGCCUGGGGAGUACGACCGCAAGGUUGAAACUCAAAGGAAUUGACGGGGACCCGCACAAGCGGUGGAGCAUGUGGUUUAAUUCGAAGCAACGCGAAGAACCUUACCAAAUCUUGACAUCCUUUGACAACUCUAGAGAUAGAGCCUUCCCCUUCGGGGGACAAAGUGACAGGUGGUGCAUGGUUGUCGUCAGCUCGUGUCGUGAGAUGUUGGGUUAAGUCCCGCAACGAGCGCAACCCUUAAGCUUAGUUGCCAUCAUUAAGUUGGGCACUCUAAGUUGACUGCCGGUGACAAACCGGAGGAAGGUGGGGAUGACGUCAAAUCAUCAUGCCCCUUAUGAUUUGGGCUACACACGUGCUACAAUGGACAAUACAAAGGGCAGCGAAACCGCGAGGUCAAGCAAAUCCCAUAAAGUUGUUCUCAGUUCGGAUUGUAGUCUGCAACUCGACUACAUGAAGCUGGAAUCGCUAGUAAUCGUAGAUCAGCAUGCUACGGUGAAUACGUUCCCGGGUCUUGUACACACCGCCCGUCACACCACGAGAGUUUGUAACACCCGAAGCCGGUGGAGUAACCUUUUAGGAGCUAGCCGUCGAAGGUGGGACAAAUGAUUGGGGUGAAGUCGUAACAAGGUAGCCGUAUCGGAAGGUGCGGCUGGAUCACCU